GUCGCGAUGGCUCAGUCGGUUAGAGGUUUAGCUGACACGCAGGAGGUCAGGGGUUCGACCCCCGGGCCGUGCA